CAAACUGGAGAUGGCGACCGGCGCACGGGUGAGUAACACGUAUCCAACCUGCCGAUAACUCGGGGAUAGCCUUUCGGAAGAAAGAUUAAUACCCGAUGGCAUAAUAGAACCGCAUGGUUUGAUUAUUAAAGAAUUUCGGUUAUCGAUGGGGAUGCGUUCCAUUAGGCAGUUGGUGGGGUAACGGCCCACCAAACCUUCGAUGGAUAGGGGUUCUGAGAGGAAGGUCCCCCACAUUGGAACUGAGACACGGUCCAAACUCCUACGGGAGGCAGCAUG
rnacentral:rRNA from 1 species